UCGCGGUGGAGGGGCGGGGACCUCUCGACGAGUUGGGGGUUCGCCACUUCCCCCACCCGUUCAGCAUCGGCGACCGCGUG
rnacentral:tRNA from 1 species